UCCUAGUGACGACGUGCCACGCCUGC
rnacentral:sRNA from 1 species